GAGCAGCCCCAGCUCCCUCAGCCUAUCCUCUUAGAAGUGCUCCAGCCCUUGGCUCAUCCUCGUGGUCCUGCUCUGAACUGGUUCCAGCAGUUUUUCGUUCUUCAGCUGGACUGUGGCCAUGUGGAAUGUUUUGGGUUGUGCUUUUGCCUUUGCAUGCUGAAAGACUUCCUGUGUUACCUUAGUAGUACGUUUCAUGUGCAAGGUUCCUGUCUGUGAUCUCUUGCUGCUGGGGAAGUCAUGAGCUACCUGUGGGGGUGUGAAAUGCACGAGCUGACCAUCCGUACUACCGUCGCCUUGAAUGCCUCCAACCAGCAGUGUUUGCUGCCAGACAGACACCUGGAGAAGACAGAGGACAUGGUUAAGUUCAUGAAGGAUAUCUUGGAUGGUGCUGCUGAAGCACAGGCUGGUGAUGGACUUCUGCAACGAAGCAAGAGAGUCAUCUAUGAGGCCAAGGCUGCUGUAAUGAUAAACAAAGAGCAAGUGCGACUGAAAGAGCUUUGCAGGUAACAACUCUGUGACCCUGUUUGGAGAGUUUUGAAUUGGUCAUUGCCAGCGAGAUCAAGAAAGCAGGAGUCAGCCACCUGCCACCCAUCCCCUCCUGACCCCAACCCCAGAAACCCAAAGCAGCACUUGGCACAGGAGGUCUCUCGUGUUGCAGUCUCAACUUCAAGCCCUGGAAUACUUUGCUUCAGCCAGCAGCAUGGGGUUGGAUACCAACAGCAGAGUCGACUUAACCUGUGACUAAGUGAACUUUAAGUGUUCUGACUCCACAGUGGAACCUGAUAAAGAAAGAUGUGAAUGGAA